AUACGGAGGGUCCAAGCGUUAUCCGGAAUCAUUGGGUUUAAAGGGUCCGCAGGCGGUCAAUUAAGUCAGAGGUGAAAGCCCAUCGCUCAACGAUGGAACUGCCUUUGAUACUGGUUGACUUGAGUUAUACGGAAGUAGAUAGAAUAAGUAGUGUAGCGGUGAAAUGCAUAGAUAUUACUUAGAAUACCGAUUGCGAAGGCAGUCUACUACGUAUAUACUGACGCUGAGGGACGAAAUCGUGGGGAGCGAACAGGAUUAGAAACCCCAGUAGUCC
rnacentral:rRNA from 1 species